CCUACGGGUGGCUGCAGUGGGGAAUAUUGGGCAAUGGGCGCAAGCCUGACCCAGCGACGCCGCGUGAGGGAAGAAGGCUUUCGGGUUGUAAACUUCUGUUAUCAGGGACGAAGCAAGUGACGGUACCUGACGAAUACGCCACGGCUAACUACGUGCCAGCAGCCGCGGUAAUACGUAGGUGGCACGCGUUAGCCGGAUUUACUGGGAGUAAAGGGCGUGUAGGCGGGGAGGCAAGUCAUCGGUGAAAACCACGGGCUCAACCUGUGACCUGCCUUUGAAACUGUUUUUCUUGAGUGCUGGAGAGGCGAGUGGAAUUCCGGGUGUAGCGGUGAAAUGCGUAGAUAUACGGAGGAACACCAGUGGCGAAGGCGGAUUGCUGGACAGUAACUGACGCUGAGGCGCGAAAGCGUGGGGAGCAAACAGGAUUAGAUACCCUGGUAGUC
rnacentral:rRNA from 1 species